GUCUCAGACUCCUGGGCUCAAGCAAUCCUCCCACCCUAAUCUCCCAAAGUGGUGGGAUUAUAGACGUAAGCCACCAUUCAUGGCCAGUUUGAGUAAAGCUUAAAAUGUUAGGAGUGGAUCUCUUCCCCUAGCUAAUUAUUAUACUUAUUCUUGCACAUCUGCAGUUGUUAUUCUUCUUAACCUCCUUUGUCUGGAUGAUGGAAACCUUUCUUUAUCACUUUAGAGGCCACUAGCACCUCUAAAGCAUACAAGGGACCUUCUCUUCUGCAGAUGUCACCUCUCUGGUUUUUCUUGGCUUCUCAUUGACAGUCUAGUCAUCUGUGUCCCUCUGAGGGGAGCCACCUCCUCCUGCCCAGGACUUCCUGCUUGGACAGGUAGAGAGAGACAUUAGACCACCAUGAACCCCUCUAGAGAGCAUGUUGACCCAAGCAGCCCUGCAGGUGAGGGCUUUGAGCAAGCAUGGGAUGAGCAUUCUAGGCUUCCGCCCUAGAUCACAUACAUCCAGAGAGAGCCCUGAAAUACAGACUUCCAGAGGACAGAGGUCUUUGCCUAUUCAGGUCACCGAUAUAUAUAUAAAGCUCCUAGAAAAGUACCUGGCAGAUGGCAGGCCCUCAAAAAAUAUGUGUUGAAUGAAUAAAUAUUUGCUGACUGAAUAAAUGCUUCUGGGGCAAAAUGGCUCCCAAACCA